rnacentral:rRNA from 1 species
AAUCAACGCUGGCGGCGUGCCUCAGACAUGCAAGUCGAACGAUUAAAGCUCUCUUCGGAGAGUGCAUAAAGUGGCGCACGGGUGAGUAACACGUAAGUAAUCUGCCCUCGAGUGGGGAAUAACGUCCGGAAACGGACGCUAAUACCGCAUAACGCAGCGGCACCGCAAGGUGACAGUUGUUAAAGGAGCAAUCCGCUUGAGGAGGAGCUUGCGGCAGAUUAGCUUGUUGGUAGGGUAACGGCCUACCAAGGCUACGAUCUGUAACCGGCCUAAGAGGACGGUCGGUCACACUGACACUGAAUAACGGGUCAGACUCCUACGGGAGGCAGGAGUCGGGAAUUUUGGGCAAUGGGGGAAACCCUGACCCAGCAACGCCGCGUGAAGGAUGAAGUAUUUCGGUAUGUAACUUCGAAAGAAUAGGAAGAAUUAAUGACGGUACUAUUUAUAAGGUCCGGCUAACUACGUGCCAGCCGCCGCCGUAAGAC